GACGAACGCUGGCGGCGUGGAUUAGGCAUGCAAGUCGAACGGUAGGAUACCUUCGGGUAUCUGAGAGUGGCGAACGGGUGAGUAACACGUAGGUGAUCUACCCUCAAGAUUGGGACAACCCAGGGAAACUUGGGCUAAUACCGGAUGAAAGCAGCAGUGAUGUUGUUUGAAAGGUGGCGUAAGCUGCCGUUUGGGGAUGAGCCUGCGCUCUAUUAGUUAGUUGGCGGGGUAAAGGCCCACCAAGGCGAUGAUAGAUAGGCGGCCUUAACGGGUGGUCGCCCACACUGGGAUUGAGAUACGGCCCAGACUCCUACGGGAGGCAGCAGUCGAGAAUAGUCUACAAUGGCCGAAAGGCUGAUAGUGCGACGCCGCGUGAACGAAGAAGCCCUUCGGGGUGUAAAGUUCUUUUAUAUGUGAGCAGUGCUUUCUAUGUGAACAGCAUGGGGAGAGAGAUAUUAGCAUAUGAAUAAGCAACGGCUAAACUCCGUGCC
rnacentral:rRNA from 1 species